rnacentral:rRNA from 1 species
GGGGGGGGGGGGGGGGGGGGGGGGGGGGGGCAGGGGGAGGGGAGGGGCCGGGGUGGGGGGGGGUGCUGGAGGGGCGGACGGGUGAGUAACACGGGAGUAACCGGCCCUUGGCUGUGGGGUAACGUGAGGAACGGGGGGCUAAUACCGGAUAGGAGCGCCUGCGGCAUGGUGGGGGUUGGCAGGUUUCGGCGGUUGGGGAGGGACUCGCGGCUUAUCAGCUUGUUGGUGGGGUAGUGGCUUACCAAGGCUUUGACGGGUAGCCGGCCUGAGAGGGUGACCGGCCACAUUGGGACUGAGAUACGGCCCAGACUCCUACGGGAGGCAGCAGUGGGGAAUAUUGCACAAUGGGCGGAAGCCUGAUGCAGCAACGCCGCGUGCGGGAUGACGGCCUUCGGGUUGUAAACCGCUUUCGCCUGUGACGAAGCGUGAGUGACGGUAAUGGGUAAAGAAGCACCGGCUAACUACGUG